UCCCUCAUUUGUUAAAAUAUUGAACAUAAACAGCCCUUCUUGGUUCCUUGAAAGUAGUCGCCUAUAAAUUAUUUUACCGUUGCCUUGGAUGUCUCAUUGCGGACUUCGGGUUUUCUUCAGCAAUCUUGCUGCUCUUCGAAGCAAACCAUUGAUGUGGUGAUCAUGGGCAAGUGUAUUGUGCUUUAUUAUUCUCAUUCGCUCGAGUUUUGCCUUGGACUCAUUCAAUCUCAGAAGAAUAUGUUGGAUUUUGAUGAUACAGCGGAAUGUAAAUUUCAAAAAUUUUUAUAUGCAUUCAACAAUUGAAAACAUGUUUAACAAUUAAACUAGACUACCGGAACAUAAAGUCCUAGAAACAUCUUGAUGAUUACAAUCAAACAACAUAAAUAUAUAAAACAAGC
rnacentral:lncRNA from 1 species